rnacentral:rRNA from 1 species
GAUGAACGCUGGCGGCGUGCCUAAUACAUGCAAGUCGAGCGAACAGACGAGGAGCUUGCUCCUUUGACGUUAGCGGUGGACGGGUGAGUAACACGUAGGUAACCUACCUAUAAGACUGGGAUAACUUCGGGAAACCGGAGCUAAUACCGGAUAAUAUUUCGAACCGCAUGGUUCGAUAGUGAAAGAUGGCUUUGCUAUCACUUAUAGAUGGACCUGCGCCGUAUUAGCUAGUUGGUAAGGUAACGGCUUACCAAGGCAACGAUACGUAGCCGACCUGAGAGGGUGAUCGGCCACACUGGAACUGAGACACGGUCCAGACUCCUACGGGAGGCAGCAGUAGGGAAUCUUCCGCAAUGGGCGAAAGCCUGACGGAGCAACGCCGCGUGAGUGAUGAAGGUCUUCGGAUCGUAAAACUCUGUUAUUAGGGAAGAACAGACGUGUAAGUAACUGUGCACGUCUUGACGGUACCUAAUCAGAAAGCCACGGCUAACUACGUG